GGCCUUCGGGUUGUAAACCUCUUUCAGCAGGGAAGAAGCGCAAGUGACGGUACCUGCAGAAGAAGCGCCGGCUAACUACGUGCCAGCAGCCGCGGUAAUACGUAGGGCGCAAGCGUUGUCCGGAAUUAUUGGGCGUAAAGAGCUCGUAGGCGGUUUGUCGCGUCUGGUGUGAAAACUCGAGGCUCAACCUCGAGCUUGCAUCGGGUACGGGCAGACUAGAGUGCGGUAGGGGAGACUGGAAUUCCUGGUGUAGCGGUGGAAUGCGCAGAUAUCAGGAGGAACACCGAUGGCGAAGGCAGGUCUCUGGGCCGCAACUGACGCUGAGGAGCGAAAGCAUGGGGAGCGAACAGGAUUAGAUACCCUGGUAGUCCAUGCCGUAAACGUUGGGCACUAGGUGUGGGGCUCAUUCCACGAGUUCCGUGCCGCAGCAAACGCAUUAAGUGCCCCGCCUGGGGAGUACGGCCGCAAGGCUAAAACUCAAAGGAAUUGACGGGGGCCCGCACAAGCGGCGGAGCAUGCGGAUUAAUUCGAUGCAACGCGAAGAACCUUACCAAGGCUUGACAUGCACGGGAAGCCACCAGAGAUGGUGGUCUCUUUGGACACUCGUGCACAGGUGGUGCAUGGUUGUCGUCAGCUCGUGUCGUGAGAUGUUGGGUUAAGUCCCGCAACGAGCGCAACCCUCGUCCCAUGUUGCCAGCGGGUUAUGCCGGGGACUCAUGGGAGACUGCCGGGGUCAACUCGGAGGAAGGUGGGGAUGACGUCAAAUCAUCAUGCCCCUUAUGUCUUGGGCUUCACGCAUGCUACAAUGGCCGGUACAAAGGGCUGCGAUACCGUAAGGUGGAGCGAAUCCCAAAAAGCCGGUCUCAGUUCGGAUUGGGGUCUGCAACUCGACCCCAUGAAGUCGGAGUCGCUAGUAAUCGCAGAUCAGCAACGCUGCGGUGAAUACGUUCCCGGGCCUUGUACACACCGCCCGUCAAGUCACGAAAGUCGGUAACACCCGAAGCCCAUGGC
rnacentral:rRNA from 1 species